AUGUAUUCAAGUCCAAACCUUCCUGUGCCUGUGCCUAGGAAUGGCUGGCCUCCUCUGGGCUUUACUUUUCCCCACCAGAUCACUGGCAAGAAUCACGGCUGCUCCCCACCCUUAUUUUAAGAUGCGAUUUCAUGUAACCCAGGCUGGCCUCCAACUCGCUAUAUUGAACUUCUGAUUCUUCUGUUUCAAGCUAUCACACCCGUUUCUUUUGUAGUGCUGGGGCUCGAACCAGAGUGCAUGUUAGGUUAGCAUUCUAUCGACUGAGCUAUACCAUCGGCCCUGUCCCCAUUUUUAUACCUAGCAAGCAAGCUCCAGUUUUCAGAUUCCCUAAAUGCUCAGCCGGAACUAGCACAUUUUCCUUUCUCUGUCAACAUCUGGUGUCUCCAGCUUCUGUUUCGCCACAUAUACUUUACCUAAUCUGGCAACGUCUUCUUUGGGUAUUGAUUUCCCUCUUUCUAAGAUGUGAGGAUUGUGACCCUACCAAACCACAACAGAGAUCUGGCUUCUGGACCUUAGUUUCUCCAUUUGCUCAUCCAACAGAAACACAUCCUUCUCUAACCUGCUGCCUUGAGUGGUUUUGCCUGAGCGGAAAGGGGAGGCAGGGUGGAAAGACAACAAACUGUACAUUCCAAUUCUUUAUGGAUGGCUUGCGAGACUUCACGGUAUUUAGCUUCAAUAUACUGGUCACUCAAAGAAACAGAA
rnacentral:lncRNA from 1 species